rnacentral:rRNA from 1 species
UGCCAGCCCCGCGGUAAUACGGAGGGUGCAAGCGUUGUUCGGAAUUACUGGGCUUAAAGGGUGCGUAGGCGGUUUUUUAAGUCAGGGGUGAAAGUCGGUGGCCCAACCAUCGAAUUGCCUUUGAUACUGAUUAACUUGAGUGUGUUAGGGGAGAGCGGAACGUGUAGUGUAGCGGUGAAAUGCGUAGAUAUUACACGGAAGGCCGGAGCCGAAGGGGGCUCUCUGGGACACAACUGACGCUGAGGCACGAAAGCGUGGGGAGCAAACAGGAUUAGAUA